rnacentral:rRNA from 1 species
AGACCUCAGGUCAGGCGGGGCUACCCGCUGAGUUUAAGCAUAUCAAUAAGCGGAGGAAAAGAAACUAACAAGGAUUCCCCUAGUAACGGCGAGCGAACCGGGAAAAGCCCACCAUGAGAAUCGGUCGCCUUCGGCGUUCGAAUUGUAGCA